rnacentral:rRNA from 1 species
CAGUCGCCGCGGGAAUACGGAGGGUGCAAGCGUUAAUCGGAAUUACUGGGCGUAAAGGGCUCGCGGGCGGUUUCUUAAGUCUGAUGUGAAAGCCCCCGGCUCAACCGGGGAGGGUCAUUGGAAACUGGGAAACUUGAGUGCUGAAGAGGAGAGUGGAAUUCCACGUGUAGCGGUGAAAUGCGUAGAGAUGUGGAGGAACACCAGUGGCGAAGGCGACUCUCUGGUCUGUAACUGACGCUGAGGAGCGAAAGCGUGGGGAGCGAACAGGAUUAGAUACCCCAGUAGUCCCUGUCUCUUAUAC